GACGAACGGUGCGAACGUUGUUCGGAAUCAUUGGGCGUAAAGAGCGCGUAGGCGGCCAACUAAGUCUUGCGUGAAAACUCGGGGCUCAACCCCGAGCGGUCGUGGGAAACUGGUUGGCUAGAGUGCGGGAGAGGAGAGUGGAAUUCCUGGUGUAGCGGUGAAAUGCGCAGAUAUCAGGAAGAACACCCGUGGCGAAGGCGGCUCUCUGGAACGCAACUGACGCUGAGACGCGAAAGCGUGGGGAGCAAACAGG
rnacentral:rRNA from 1 species